AGCCUAACCCAGAGGAGAGCCUGGCCUUCUUUAAUUGGAGCUCAGGCCUGGGAGGCCCUCAGGCUUAUCACACAUCAGCCGCCUUUCCUUUGAGCUAACCUCAAACGAAAGCUCAUUGUUCCCUGAAGAACAGAGGGAGGAGAAGAUUCUGCUAGGGUGUAGGAGCGCUUGUCCCAGCUCUCUGGCAGGAAGUCAGGAGGGCUGUUUGGACUCCUGCACCUCAGGGCUCUGACCUAUAAAUGACAUGUAGCCUGGGACAGGACCCUCUGAGCUGAUGGAGAUGUCAGAGACCUUCAGAGCACUGUGGAAUAGCUGGGACCAUUGGAGCUUCUUCAGCAUGGAACUAUCCGCAUCGGGAAUCAAGAGCAGUGUCCCAGGCUGGUGACACUCGCUUGUGAUCCUAGCACUCUGCCUACCAGCAGAAGAACCAGGAGUUCAAGGUCACCCUCAGCUUGCCAGAUUGUGAGAGGAACACCUUCGUUGCUGAGAUAAUGCUGCUUUUCUCAGAAUCUCUGGUGAACAGUGACCUGAGACGUGGGGUCAAAGCUAUAAAACCUGCUAGGAAAGGAAGAAAGAAAGCAGUCUUGAGCAAUGGGGAAGACCAGAUCCUCUAAGUUUGACAGAGGUUAAUUUGACUGAAUAAUGAAACUCAAGCAGAGAGCGAAGCCUGUGGCUCACGCCGCUAAUCCCAGAGUUUGGAACGUGGAGGCAGAAGCAUCAAGGUAUUCAAGACCAGUCUAGAAAAAGAGUAGUCACAAAAAAUCCCCUCAAGCAAAUACCCCCACCUCUGAAAAAUAAAACAAAAAGACAAACAACCAAGAAACUUCUUGUCAAAUGUCCCCAUGGAGGCAGAUGUGAAUAAGCAAACUCACUAGGCCCCCACCGGAAGCGCUGCAAAUCCCAGGUGGCUCCAGUGUGUGCCCCAGGGUGGACGGCCUUUGAGGCAAGGAUGUCCAACCCGGAGUCCUGCUUUUUCUGAGAUGCCCAGGGACUGCUAAUCCACCUAUAGACUGAAAGCAAUAAUUUGUCUCACAGACUUUAUAGGACUAGCCCUUCAAUCUACACAGAUGGGGUGAUGAGGGACCCAGGAGCUUUCAACCUCUCAAGCCUCAAAGUAUAACCAUUUGCAUAUCAAGAGCAGCUUUUAAAUUUGAAAGAGCACUAUCCAAGUGCCAGACAGACUGCCCCAGAAGGAAAGAGGUGUGCUGGACGGAUACACACACACACACACACACACACACACACACACACACACACACACACCCCUGCUUCCUGGAGCCUCACCAAGUCCACAGAUUGCCUGGUUCUGUCCGCAUGUUCCUGUCCCAGUUGUCAGCCCUGGAGGACAUGCCCAGCUGUCUCUAGGGAAAGGAGGUUCAGACUGGAGGCUCCUGGCCCACUCAUGUUUGUGCCUCAGCCUUUGAAAGGGUGGUCUGUGUAACAACCGAACAAUUUAAGUCUCUGCAAUUGUACUCAGUUCAUUUCAUAGUUUUGUUGCUCUUUCCUUUCUUGUUGGCGUGUUUGCAUUUUACCGUGUUUGCAUAUUAAUGUGUCCAGAGUCUCCUCCAACAGAUCAUCCAUAACUCAGCGUGGCUUUGCACUUCUGCCCUUUGUCUGUGGGUGACAUAUAUGUGUCUGUGGUGACAUAUAUGUGUCUAUGGGUGACACAUGUGUCUGUGGUAACAUAUGUGUCUGUG